UUCCUGAAAGAAAAAACACAACUGAUGCAACAAGCGCUACUAAAACUAAAAUCUGCUAAAUUGAGAAGUUUCCCAAGCAAUUAUUUUUUAAUUUAAUUUCCAAAUGCAUUAUAGGUGGUUAAUUGAUAGUGUUGAAAACCUUGAGAUAGGAAGGGUAAAAAAGCAAGCCAAUAUAACUGAGAUAGAUCACACUGGCUUAAGUACACUAUCAUGCUGAUAAUGCCUGUACAAUGAUUUAAAUAUUAGAGGUUUAUUUACAGGUGGUGAGGCACACUGAACAGAUGGUAUUAACAUAAAAUGCUCAAUUCAUUCAAGCUACCUUGGAAAUACAUGAGCAGGCACAUAAAUAUACGGGCACAAGAAAUCAUCCAUCAGAAAGCUCCUAAUCUCCUAAUUUUUUGUUUCAAUCAAUAUCAAUAUGGUCAACAACUUUUUCUUUGAUGAGGAAAGUCUUCAAUCAAGUUCCAGUUAAAGAACUCCAAGUUGGUGCAUACAAUCCACUUCAAGAGGUUAAAUACAAAGGAAAGCAUGAAGGAUAUGUCUUUGAGGAUACUAAAGGAAAAAAAAAUAAUAUGUAUGACGUUUUGAUAUAACCAUGAACAUUUACAGUAGUAAUACCACAAAGCAUCUGUCUUUGGCAAUGAUAUACAUAAAUUUGGAUAUUACAAUCCAACCAUACACUGCAGACUUUUUCUCUUCUUUUUUUUUUCCCCUUCUUAUAGGGCAACUAACCAUGCAUGCUGCUGACUUGGAACCUAAAUUGUGAUAUGCCUUAAAUUGACACACGAUUGUAGUUAAAGAAAACACUCAAAACCAUUAAGCCCAAUCAACAAUGGCAUUGACAGUGGGAUUAUCUCAUUCAAUGUUUGGUAAGAAACUAUUACUAUAAAAUAGUGUAUGUGAGCUGAACCUUAUCAAUACCCUAACCAAGCCCUAUCUUUAUUCUUUUUUAUAAGAAGCCUGCAGUUAAGUAUGAUCUCAUGGCUCUUCAUCCAAAGGUAAUGGGGUCCAGUUGAAUCAUGAUAUUCAAAUCAUACUACAAGAAGUGACAAAUAUAACAUGCUACCAUAUAAACAUCAUUAUAAAUUUCUAAGAGCAUAAGGAAGAAACUUACGAUCCAGCAAUCUCUUGGUAUGUGCUAGUGAUGAUAAAAUCUGCAUUAUUCAUGGCUAUCAGGUCAGCAGUAAAUUGACAUGAGAAGUGGUAUUUAUCGUCAAAAUUUUUCCAAUAUAUAUCAGAAUCCGGGUACUUUGUUUUCUCAAGCGCGUGUGCAAUGGUGCACUGCAUGUAUAAAAAUUUAAUUAGGAGAAAAUUUAUAAUUUCCAUUUUCAGAAAAUAAAAUGAGCUUCAUGUUCACAUAAUAAUAAAAAAGAAUAUUCUAACCUGUGUGACUCCCAGCUUAGAAGCUAACAAUGAUGCGACGAGAUUUCCAUCACUAUAGUUGCCAAUGAUCAGUUCUGGAACACCCUGUAAUUCAGCGGCAAUCUCACUUGCUGCAUCCUGAACAUAAUACACAGCCAUGCACAAACAUUUCACAAUAAGAUUUGAGAAAGCACAUUAACAGUAACUAUUGCAUGGUGUUAAGGCGGGGAAAUUGAUAAGACAGGUGCAAUGGUGGUGGCUGUUACAGGAGAAUAGAGGAAGAGACAGCAGCAGGGUACUGAAGCAAUGGUGCUAAUAUGUAUUAACUCCUGUUAUAAUCGUUAUUUAAAAACUUGACAUAGAUUAUGUUUCAAACUAAGAUUUGAUUAGAUUUUACUACAUGAACUUUCAAAUCCUCUGACUUUUCAUUUAGAAAUCAAGUGUCAUUGAAACCUCAUAAUAGAUAGAGAAUCAACGAAAAGCUCUAUACUCAUCAUCAUUCCGCUAACUCAAAUAUCAGUUGGUGUGUGUGUGAGAGAGAGAGGGAGAGAGAAAUCAUUUAAAAGAUUGACAGGAGAUUUUAUUUUUUAUUUUUUUGGGGUAAAGAAAGUCACAUUUUUGUUAUAAAAAAACAAAAUACUCAUGUGUAAGAAUUCUAUCAACUACUAAAUGUGAUGCUGCCGUGAUUUUUAGUUACCAGGGACCAAGCUCACCAUUGAGCAUAUCUUCAAUGAAAUCAUUACACUCCUUGAAAUGAUUUCUCAUCUCGCAUUUAGGUAAUACACUUCUCAUCUACAAAUAUAUAAUACCAUGCUUUUAAACUUGAUGCCACAACCCCCUUCAUAAUGGUUCCAAACAAUCAGAAAGGAAUAUUUAAUUAUAUAGACUAGAGGCAUUUUAUCAUCCAGGUAUUAUCCAUGUUUUUUUUUUUUUUUUUGAUAGGUUAGGAAUUAUCAAUGUUUUUCAUAAAGGCAUAAAUAUGCAGCAGAUUUCUCUACAAAAAGGAUUUUAUGCCCUCAUUUAUAGCCGAAAAAAAAAAAUACUGGAUUCUACUACAAACUAUGCAAUGUGCUCAAUACAGGAAAUGAAAUAUAUAUUGGCAUUGAGGUUUGCAAAUGCCACAAUUUUGCAUCCAUGAUUAUGUGUUUCUUCUCUUUUUUCCUUUUCUUUUCCCUUUUUUCUUUUGGAAAAACUGUUUCAGCAGACAAACUAAAAGGUAUUUUGAACCUCUUUCCAAUUGGUCCUAGCAUGAAAAUGUAGUCAUCUGGGGACAAUACUAAGACGACCACCAUCUUUAAGCGCAAAACAAAGUUCAUCAGUUUAUCUGUACAACUUGUAUUUUGUGGUUCAAAAAAAAAAAAAAAAAUUUCCCCUAAUAAGAUAAUUCGAUCCUAUACCAUCAAUCAAAAGAAGAUUAAAUCCCUUCCUUUUAUAAGAGAGGUUUGGUGGCAAUUGAAGCAUUGAUUCAAUAGCGUAAGAAAGAUAACAACAACUGUAGCUUUAAAUGUUCAAUAAAUUUUACCUCUGCAAAGGUCUCCAGAUAAGGCCACACAUCAAACCUUGAAAUCCACUUACGAAGAAUUCCUUUGUCUGUUCUGAAAGGAACACGCAAUAUAUGUGAAUGUUCUGUUCCACUGACUCUUUCCAGCCGCUGGUUGCAUGUAGUUCCUUUUGCAUCAGGUAUUAACCGGGUCACCUUAGACAAGUAGAUUUACAGUAAAAAAAAGCACUCUGCAUAAGCCCAGUUAGAUAAGUUGAAGAUUGUGCAGCAUAAAUACACUUACGAUAAGAAUUCUUGGUGUGACAUCUAGUCCUUGCUUUUGCAUUCUAAGCAACAUUUCAUUCUCCAAAGCACGCACUUGAUCCAGUAUAUAAACAACCUGUGCACCAAAUAAAGAAGUAUCAUAAAGAAAGUCAUCUAGCAUUCAUGGUUGAUAACUUCCAUCCUACACUCAUACAUAAAAAUUAAUUAUCAUAUAUGUCACAUAAGCCUUGCAUGAACAAGAGAAGCUGCUCCAAAUGAAGACAGGAAAAAAUGGAAAUAAGAUCCACUGCAGCAUUAAGAAUAUUAUUGGUUCACCACAAUGGAAAAAUGUUAAUACCUGUCCACCAGUAUCAGGUAAACCUAAAACAUUUGCUUGUCCAAAGUAACCAUGUGGAGACAAAAUGACAACAUUAAACACCAUUGGUAUUCUCCCUAGGAAUGUCUCUAAGGUAGA
rnacentral:lncRNA from 1 species